rnacentral:misc_RNA from 1 species
GGAAUAUGGGUCAACAAAGUGCAGUAUGAAAGUUACAAAAAUGAUGGAAUCGUUGUUGGGGAUUCAAUUUCGUUGAAUCUCAAAGCAGCAAUUGCACUCGAGUUGGAUAUCGAUGUAUGAAGAAAAAAUAUUGAAAUUUGUUAAAUCGUAGAAGGUAACUGGUGUCCAAUGAAGAUUAAGAAUGAUAUGGGUGUUAAACUAUAUCCAGAAGUGGAAAAAAAUGAGCCAGGAUUUGGAAUGUAUCCAUUAUGCGUUGACACAAUUGAAAAGAUUGGAGGUACUGUACAUAACUUUGAUGGAACAUGUGGAGAAAUUACACGUGUAGAAGGCACAACAUAGGAUACACAAGCUCUGACGAUGGUUGAAUCCAGAAUGUGAUUCGUAUGAUAAU